GACUCUGCAAAAGUUUUAGAUCUUCUACAACUCUUGUCAUUCGUACGUGCAUCCUCUGGCUUUCAGUCGUGCCCACUCUUCUUCGUCUUGGUUCACUGGAGUUGGAUUUUUGUUACAUUUUCUAAUCGGAUUUGAGUCUUCGUCAAGCCAAAAUGCCGGCGUUUUAAAUUCACUACCUUUGAGGAUUCGGAGAAGGAGAGCGAGUAUGGUUACGUUCGCAAGUCUACGAAGAAACUGCUGGAUUGACGGUUAAUGAUCCUGUUCUUCGAACACACAAGCUUUGUAGUGUCUUCAUGUUGGCUAUUUUAGCUUGAGAUGGUGUCUCGGUUGCAGCUAAAUUUUACAUUUCUGCUUGGAUUUACAGCCACUAUCAGUGGAGCUUGGUCCAGGAAUAUUAGGAAAUAUCUUUGAUGGAAUUCAGAGGCCUUUGAAGACUAUUGCAAAGCGAUCUGGUGAUGUAUACAUCCCUCGUGGGGUGUCUGUUCCAGCUCUUGACAAAGAUUGUCCUUGGGAGUUCCAGCCUAAUAAAUUCGGCGAGGGCGACACUAUAUAACUGGUGGUGACUUGUAUGCUGUCUCAGAAGUUUGAAGAUCCAGCUGAGGGUGAAGAUACACUUGUAGCCAAAUUCAAGAAACUGUAUGACGACUUGACUUCUGGAUUCCGAGCCUUGGAGGAUGAAACUCGAUAAGCAAGCAGUUUCCGGAGAUCGAAAGUAUUCGAGCCAUCAUCACAAUGGAAUUGAUAUUGGGUCGAUGAAUUUAGGUUUUGAGCCAAAAACACUACAGUAUGUUAUGUUGCCUCUGUAGACUGUAGUAUAAUUGAUCUCUCUUUCUCUCUUUAUUAAUUCAUUUCUUUUUUGGCACAGACGAAAAGAUAUAUAGAUUUGUGUACUCAAAUACUCAAUAAGAGAUACCCUCGAGACUCAAC